AUUGAACGCUGGCGGCAGGCCUAACACAUGCAAGUCGAACGAGUGGCGGACGGGUGAGUAAUGUCUGGGAAACUGCCUGAUGGAGGGGGAUAACUACUGGAAACGGUAGCUAAUACCGCAUACCAUCGGAUGUGCCCAGAUGGGAUUAGCUAGUAGGUGGGGUAACGGCUCACCUAGGCGACGAUCCCUACCUGGUCUGAGAGGAUGACCAUCCAACUUGGUAUUGAGACACGGCCCAGACUCCGACGGGUGGCGGCAGUGGGGAAUAUUGCACAAUGUGCGAAGGCCUGGUGCAGCCAGGCCGGGUGUAUGAGGAAGGCCUUCGGUUGGUAAAGUACUUGCAGCGGGGAGGCGUUACCCGCAGAGGAAGCACCGGCUAACUCCGUGCCAGCAGCCGCGGUAAUUC
rnacentral:rRNA from 1 species